rnacentral:rRNA from 1 species
AUAAAGCUCUUUCGCAAGGGAAGAAAACUUAUGAUCGAAUAAAUCAUGAGGUUGACGGUACCUUGAUAAGAAGCACCGGCUAACUACGUGCCAGCAGCCGCGGUAAUACGUAGGGUGCGAGCGUUAAUCGGAAUUACUGGGCGUAAAGCGUGCGCAGGCGGUUUUGUAAGUCGGAUGUGAAAUCCCCGGGCUCAACCUGGGAACUGCGUUCGAAACUGCAAGGCUAGAGUGUGUCAGAGGGGGGUAGAAUUCCACGUGUAGCAGUGAAAUGCGUAGAGAUGUGGAGGAAUACCAAUGGCGAAGGCAGCCCCCUGGGAUAACACUGACGCUCAUGCACGAAAGCGUGGGGAGCAAACAGGAUAAGAUACCCUGGUAGUCCACGCCCUAAACGAUGUCAACUAGUUGUUGGUAGAGUACAAUCUAUGAGUAACGUAGCUAACGCGUGAAGUUGACCGCCUGGGGAGUACGGUCGCAAGAUCCACAACUCAAAGGAAUUGACGGGGGCCCGCACAAGCGGUGGAUCAUGUGGCAAAAAUCGAAACAACGCGAAAAAACC